CAGGCCCCGGAGACUGAAGUUCCUUGUUCAUCCAUACAACAGGUACAGCAUUGACAGUGGCAGUAUAAGCUUCUUCCCCACCAAUGCUACAACAAGGAGUCUCAACCUUGUUCUUAGUUCACAAACACAUUCAAUCCUUGACCUUCCCUCUGAAUUU
rnacentral:sRNA from 1 species